UCCUACGGGGCGCAGCAGUGGGGAAUAUUGCACAAUGGGGGAAACCCUGAUGCAGCAACGCCGCGUGAGUGAAGAAGUAUUUCGGUAUGUAAAGCUCUAUCAGCAGGGAAGAAGAUGACGGUACCUGAAUAAGAAGCCCCGGCUAACUACGUGCCAGCAGCCGCGGUAAUACGUAGGUGGCAAGCGUUGUCCGGAUUUACUGGGUGUAAAGGGCGUGCAGCCGGGAAGACAAGUCAGAUGUGAAAUCCCGCGGCUCAACCGCGGAACUGCAUUUGAAACUGUUUUUCUUGAGUACCGGAGAGGUC
rnacentral:rRNA from 1 species